rnacentral:misc_RNA from 1 species
GUUGCUUCAAUUUGGUCAAUAUACUUCUCUCAUGGUCAUCGUUGGCACUCUUGUCAAAGAGAAGCCUUCGGGCAAGUUUUUUUCUAUAGAAUUCAGCAAACAGAUCUUUGUCGCAGAUGUAUGCCAGCAACUUCACGACCUUCUCAAGUGUCUCCUCAAUUGCUUCAUCACUCAACUUCUCGCUCCCACCUUUCUUAAGGAUGUUAUCACAAAAGGUAGCAAGUAAUUCUGCACUAGAACUUCCAGCAACACCCUUAUUGCAAAAGACUUCAAAAGCUUCCUUGAGAGCCUUGUGAAAAAGUGUGUGGUUU